ACGGGAGGCAGCAGUGAGGAAUAUUGCGCAAUGGAGGAAACUCUGACGCAGCGACGCCGCGUGAGGGAAGAAGGUCUUCGGAUUGUAAACCCCUGUCUUCAGGGAAGAAAUUUGACGGUACCUGGGGAGGAAGCCCCGGCUAACUACGUGCCAGCAGCCGCGGUAAUACGUAGGGGGCUAGCGUUGUCCGGAAUUAUUGGGUGUAAAGGGCGCGUAGGCGGCUUUGUAAGUCAAACGUGAAAUCUGCAAGCUUAACUUGCAGCCUGCGUUUGAUACUGCAUUGCUUGAGUGGAGUAGAGGCAAGUGGAAUUUCCAGUGUAGCGGUGAAAUGCGUAGAUAUUGGAAGGAACACCGGUGGCGAAGGCGGCUUGCUGGGCUCUGACUGACGCUGAGGCGCGAAAGCGUGGGUAGCAAACAGGAUUAGAUACCCUGGUA
rnacentral:rRNA from 2 species